rnacentral:lncRNA from 1 species
CUUCUAGCUGCCUUCUUGUGCCUCUCUCCCACUCUCCUGGAGUUCUCCCAGAACAAUAUGCUGAGAACAUUGAUAAGGUUGGAAUUGCCCAAAGGCCUUGCACCAGGAGCAAAUACUUUGCUCCUAAAGCAGACAUUCAGAUCUGGAAAAUCUGAAAGAGAACAUGGGCAUGAUUCCCUUCAUUUUAAAAAUCAUCUUGAAUCCUGAGGCACAUUUGAAAUGCAAGAUAUGUGAGGUGAAUGGCAGAAAAGAAAAAUACCAGAAGACUGAAUUUCCAAUAAAUCAAAGCAACCGAAUUUCAAUUUACAAUAGUGGAACUCAGGACAUAUUUUUUCCACCAAAACAUCCAACCAAGUAUGAGUGAGUGGCCUGGCCUUAACACAUUGUUUGUUUGAACAACAAUUUGAAGGAAAGUCGAUAUGUUGAUAAUAUAAUAUAGAGUAACUUCAGAAGGCCUUAUAAAGAAUGUGCAGUAGGAAGAAGAAAAUCUGGAACCCUGAGUUAGCCUGGUGGGAAAGUCAGCCUCAGCUGAAGCCUCAACAGGCAGCUUGGAUGCUUCUUGACAUCUACAUUAAGCACUGUUCACAAUAACCAAAAUUUGGAAGCAACCUACAUGCCCAUCAACAGAGGAAUGGAUAAAGAAAAUAUGGUACAUAUACACAAUGGAGUACUAUUCAGCCAUAAAAAGACUGAGAUUCUGUCCUUUGCAACAAGAUGAAUGGAACUGAAGAUAAUUAUUUAAAGUGAAAUAAGCCAAGCACAUAAAGACAAACAUCACAUGUUCUCACUUAUUUGUGGGAUCUAAACAUCUAAACAAUUGAACUCAUGGACAUAGUGAGUAGAAGGAUGGUUACCAGAGGCUGGGAAGGGUAGUGCCAGGCUAGGGGAGAGGUGGAGAUGAUAAAUGGGUACAAAACAAAAUAGUUAUAAAGAAUAAGAUACACUAUUUGAUCAUACAACAAGGUAACUAUAGCCAAUAGUAACUUGUAUUUGUUUUGUUUUGUUUUUUUUGAGACAGAGUCUCGCUCUGUCGCCCAGGCUGGAGUGCAGUGGCGCGAUCUCGGCUCACUGCAAGCUCCACCUGCCAGGUUCACUCCAUUCUCCUGCCUCAGCCUCCCGAGUAGCUGGGACUACAGGCGCCCACCACCACGCCCAGCCAACGUUUUGUAUUUUUGGUAGAGACGGGGUUUCACCGUGUUAGCCAGGAUGGUCUCGAUUUCCUGGCCUCAUGAUCCGCCUGCCUCAGCCUCCCAAAGAAUUGUGUGUUUUAAAAUAACUAUUAAGAAUGUAACUGGAUUGUUUGUAACACAAAGGAUAAAUGCUUGAGCGGAUGGAUACCCCAUUUUCCCUGAUGUCAUUAUUUCAUAUUACAUGCCUGUAUCAAAAAAUCUCAUGUACCCCACAAAUACAUACACCUACUAUGUGUCCACAAAAAAUUGUAAAAUAAAUAGAUAAAAAUUUUAAAAUGAA